rnacentral:rRNA from 1 species
UACGGGGGGGGCAAGCGUUGUUCGGAAUUACUGGGCGUAAAGGGCUCGUAGGCGGCCAACUAAGUCAGACGUGAAAUCCCUCGGCUUAACCGGGGAACUGCGUCUGAUACUGGAUGGCUAGAGUUUGGGAGGGGGAUGCGGAAUUCCAGGUGUAGCGGUGAAAUGCGUAGAUAUCUGGAGGAACACCGGUGGCGAAGGCGGCAUCCUGGACCAACACUGACGCUGAUGCGCGAAAGCUAGGGGAGCAAACAGG